GGGGGCGUCUGGCUUCGACGGGGAAUCAGACGCUUCCGAGGUUGCGCGCCGAGUACCGUCUCGUUAAAACGGAACCUCAGAACUGCCAACGACAACUUGGCUCUGGCUGCGGCUUAAGACCCGCACCACGUUCUCGACCCGGCCCUGAUCUACGGCGGGGUCGCAGAGCGCUGACGAAGUAGAUCGAAGGGCGGUCGGUGCUCCGACGACCGCCCGGAUACUCUCGGAGCUAGCGACGCCGGGCGGCCGCCUUCCGCCACACCCGGCCGGGCGAAUCCAAGAACGUGAAGGCUAUGCGCGUAGACGCUUCGGAAGUGGGUUCUUCGGACGCGGGUUCAAAUCCCGCCGCCUCCACCA
rnacentral:tmRNA from 1 species